GGAGGGAUCAUUACUUAGGCUUAAAGAUCGGGUGCACUCCACCCGGUUCCACCGUGUAAAGUUAAAGUUCAUCGCUCUUCUUAGAGCGUAAGCACUGCCUUAAAGAUCUCGGGUGCCUUAAAAGUUGCACCCUGUUGGACGGCGUAAAUAAGAGGGGAGUCAGUUAGUCGUAGGCUCCCCCGAUUUUAAAGCGUAAAUAAUGAUCCUUAACGAUGGAUGUCUUGGGUUUGAGAUCGUUGAAGAGCGCAGCAAAGCGCGAUAUUCGAUGUGAUUUGCAGAACAUGUGAUGCAUUAGACUCUUGAACGCAUGUGCACUGCGGGUGCUCUGCACCCACAGUAUGUCUGGCUGAGUGCUAACAACAACUCACCUCAUCCAACUCGUGGCCUCAAUCGCGAAGUCCGAGUUUACGAUGUGUUAACGGUGUAAGACUCCGUUGAAGGACGUGAAGGAGAGCCUGUUAUGGUUGGUUUGCCGUGUAGGACUUCGUAGUUGGAUCAUCGUAUAAAAUAACAGCCUCCAAAAACAGCCUGGUCCCCAGGGGGGGAGAGGCAGCCUUUUUCACAACCUUAGCCUCAGCUCAGAUAGGACCAUCCGCUAGACUUAAGCAUAUUAUUCAGCGGAAGAAAAGAAAACAACCGUGAUUUUCUCAGUAACUGCGAGUGAAGAGGAAUCAGACCAGGGUGAAUCGAAGAGGGUAAAGCUCCCUUCUCGAGUUGUGCCCUUUAGAUCGGUGUCAGUGCUCGAUUCUCCCCCAAGUUGACUGGAAAGUCACACCGAAGAAGGUGAUAGUCCUGUACGGAGAGAGUUAGGUAUCGAGUGUUAACAGCCGAAUCAACGAGUCGCACUGUCUGGGAGUAUAGUGCAAAUAGGCAGGUAAAUCCCUGCUAAGUCUAAAUAUGGCUCAAACACCGAUAGCGAACAAGUACCACGAGGGAAAGAUGCAAAGAACUCUGAAAAGAGAGUCAAAAGUACCUGAAAUCGUUAGGGAGGAACCGGUAGCAAAACAGCCUGUGUGAGGGGGUCGAAUCACUGCGUUGCUUGUGAGUCUAGGCUGUCUGUGUGCGUUCACGGAUGUACACGAGGAGGCUGAACCGAGUAAGUAGCGUGGGCACUUUGGCCCAGCUCCGUCCACGAUCCCUGCGUGUCGAGAUUGCUGAGUUAGAGCGACGUUGCAGCGAUGCAGGUUCAAGUCUGGCUCAAGCAACUCGGUGUUCUGGGAGGAUCGUAAAGGGUAGCCCUGCGUAGCGUGUGCGUGCUGGCGUGUGGUGGCUGGCGAUCAUCCUAGAUGAUCGUUAGUCAUCGUGUGUGUGUGUGCGUGCUGCUGCUUGCCUUUGUUGAUCGUGGGUAGGAUUGUUACCGACCCGUCUUGAAACACGGACCAAGGAGUCUAACCUGUGCACGAGUUUAAGGGUGUCAAACUCGUAAGCGUAGAGAAAUCGAGAGUAGUGAGACGCUGUUGCCCACGGGCGAUGGCUGCAUCACAGGCCCAUCCCGAGGUAAGUCCGAGGGUUUGGAGUCGGAGUGCACAUGUUAGGACCCGAAAGAUUGCGAACUAUGCUUGCAUAGAGUGAAGCCAGGCGAAAGUCUGGUGGAGGCUCGUAGUCGUACUGACGUGAAAAUCGUUGAUCAAAUGUGAGUAUAGCGGCGAAAGACCAAUCGAGCAGUCUAGUAGCUGGUUCCUGC
rnacentral:misc_RNA from 1 species